GAGGAGGAAGAAGACGACGAGGCCGAGAGGGGGAUGUCCGGCUCCAAAAGCGUGAGCCCCCCGGGCUACGCGGCGCAGACAGCGGCCGCGCCGGCGUCCCGGGGAGGCCCGGAACACCGCUCGGCGUGGGGGGAAGCGGAUUCCCGCGCCAAUGGCUACCCCCACGCCCCUGGGGGUUCGACCCGCGGCUGCACCAAGAAACCCGGGGGGGCGGUGACCCCGCAGCAGCAGCAGCGCCUGGCCAACCGCUGGCGCAGCGACGACGACGACGAUCCUCCGCUGAGUGGCGACGACCCCCUGGCCGGGGGCUUCGGCUUCAGCUUCCGCUCCAAGUCGGCUUGGCAGGAGCGCGGCGGCGACGACUGCGGUCGCGGCAGCCGCCGGCAGCGCCGGGGCGCGGCCGGCGGGGGCAGCACCCGGGCGCCCCCUGCGGGUGGCGGUGCCGGCUCGGCGGCGGCGGCCGCGGCGGCGGGCGGGACGGAGGUGCGCCCUCGCUCGGUGGAGCUGGGCCUGGAGGAGCGGCGGGGCAAGGGCCGCGCGGUGGACGAGCUGGAGGCCGGCGCCGUCGAGGGCGACGAAGGGGCGGGGGAUGGCGGCAGCUCGGCAGAAUCAGGCGCGGGGCCCGGCGCAGUGCUGUCGCUGGGUGCCUGCUGCUUGGCGCUGCUGCAGAUAUUCCGCUCCAAGAAGUUCCCGUCCGACAAGCUGGAGCGGCUGUACCAGCGCUACUUCUUCCGUCUGAACCAGAGUAGCCUCACCAUGCUCAUGGCCGUGCUGGUGCUCGUGUGCCUCGUCAUGCUGGCCUUCCACGCGGCGCGGCCCCCGCUCCAGCUGCCCUACCUGGCAGUGCUGGCGGCUGCGGUAGGUGUCAUCCUCGUCAUGGCUGUGCUCUGCAACCGCGCCGCCUUCCACCAGGACCACAUGGGCCUGGCCUGCUACGCGCUUAUCGCCGUGGUGCUGGCCGUGCAGGUGGUGGGCCUGCUGCUGCCCCAGCCGCGCAGCGCCUCCGAGGGCAUCUGGUGGACCGUAUUCUUCAUCUACACCAUCUACACGUUGCUGCCUGUGCGCAUGCGGGCCGCGGUACUCAGCGGAGUGCUCCUGUCGGCCCUCCACCUGGCCAUCGCCUUGCGCACCAACGCCCAGGACCAGUUCCUGCUCAAGCAGCUUGUCUCCAAUGUCCUCAUUUUCUCCUGCACCAACAUCGUGGGUGUCUGCACCCACUACCCAGCUGAGGUCUCCCAGAGACAGGCCUUCCAGGAGACCCGGGAGUGCAUCCAGGCACGACUCCACUCACAACGGGAGAACCAGCAACAGGAGCGGCUCCUGCUGUCUGUCCUCCCCCGUCAUGUUGCCAUGGAGAUGAAAGCAGACAUCAAUGCCAAGCAGGAGGAUAUGAUGUUCCAUAAGAUUUACAUCCAGAAACAUGACAACGUGAGCAUCCUGUUUGCUGACAUCGAGGGCUUCACCAGCCUGGCAUCCCAGUGCACUGCCCAGGAGCUGGUCAUGACCCUCAACGAGCUCUUUGCCCGCUUCGACAAGCUGGCCGCGGAGAACCACUGUUUACGUAUUAAGAUCCUGGGGGAUUGUUAUUACUGUGUCUCUGGGCUGCCGGAAGCGAGGGCUGACCACGCCCACUGCUGCGUGGAGAUGGGCAUGGACAUGAUUGAGGCCAUCUCGUUGGUCCGGGAGGUGACAGGGGUGAACGUGAACAUGCGCGUGGGAAUUCACAGCGGGCGAGUACACUGCGGUGUCCUUGGUCUCAGGAAGUGGCAGUUCGACGUCUGGUCUAAUGACGUCACGCUGGCCAACCACAUGGAAGCUGGAGGCAAGGCAGGGCGCAUCCACAUCACCAAGGCCACACUCAACUACCUGAACGGUGACUACGAGGUGGAGCCAGGCUGCGGGGGCGAGCGCAACGCCUACCUCAAGGAGCACAGUAUCGAGACCUUCCUCAUCCUGCGCUGCACCCAGAAGCGGAAAGAAGAAAAGGCCAUGAUCGCCAAGAUGAAUCGCCAGAGAACCAACUCCAUUGGGCACAACCCGCCCCACUGGGGUGCCGAGCGUCCCUUCUACAACCACCUAGGGGGCAACCAGGUGUCCAAGGAGAUGAAGCGGAUGGGCUUUGAAGACCCCAAGGACAAGAACGCCCAGGAAAGCGCAAACCCUGAGGAUGAAGUGGACGAAUUUCUGGGCCGUGCCAUUGACGCCAGGAGCAUCGACAGGCUGCGGUCUGAGCACGUCCGCAAGUUCCUCUUGACCUUCAGGGAGCCUGACUUAGAGAAGAAGUACUCCAAGCAGGUGGAUGACCGAUUCGGUGCCUACGUGGCAUGUGCCUCGCUUGUCUUCCUCUUCAUCUGCUUUGUCCAGAUCACCAUCGUGCCCCACUCCGUGUUCAUGUUGAGUUUCUACCUGACCUGUUUCCUGCUGCUGGCGUUGGUGGUAUUUGUGUCCGUGGUCUAUUCCUGCGUGAAGCUCUUCCCAGCCCCCCUGCAGACCCUCUCCAGGAAGAUUGUGCGGUCCAAGAUGAAUAGCACUCUGGUCGGAGUGUUCACCAUCACCCUAGUGUUCCUGUCGGCUUUCGUCAACAUGUUCAUGUGUAACUCCAAGGACCUGUUCGGCUGCCUGGCAGAUGAGCACAACAUCAGCACCGGCCAGGUCAACGCGUGCCACGUGGUGGAGUCAGCUGCCAACUACAGCCUGGGGGAUGAGCGGGGCUUCUGCAGCAGUCCGUGGCCCAACUGCAACUUCCCUGAGUACUUCACCUACAGCGUGCUGCUCAGCCUGCUGGCCUGCUCCGUGUUCCUGCAGAUCAGCUGCAUUGGGAAGCUGGUGCUCAUGCUGGCCAUUGAGCUCACAUAUGUGCUCAUCGUCGAGGUGCCCCGUGUCACGCUCUUUGACAAUGCUGACCUGCUGGUCACUGCCAACGCCAUAGACUUCAACAACAACGGGACCUCCCAGUGCCCUGAGCAUGCGACCAAGGUGGCACUGAAGGUGGUGACGCCCAUCAUCAUCUCCGUCUUUGUGCUGGCCCUAUACCUGCAUGCCCAGCAGGUGGAGUCCACCGCCCGCUUGGACUUCCUCUGGAAACUGCAGGCCACGGAGGAGAAGGAGGAGAUGGAGGAGCUGCAGGCCUACAACAGGCGGCUGCUGCACAACAUCCUGCCCAAGGACGUGGCCGCCCACUUCCUGGCCCGCGAGCGACGCAACGACGAGCUCUACUACCAGUCGUGUGAGUGCGUGGCCGUCAUGUUUGCCUCCAUCGCCAACUUCUCCGAGUUCUACGUGGAGCUGGAAGCCAACAACGAGGGCGUCGAGUGCCUGCGGCUGCUCAACGAGAUCAUCGCCGACUUUGACGAGAUCAUCAGCGAGGAUCGGUUCAGGCAGCUGGAAAAGAUCAAGACCAUUGGCAGCACCUACAUGGCCGCCUCAGGCCUCAAUGAUUCCACGUACGACAAGGUGGGCAAGACCCACAUCAAAGCCCUGGCCGACUUUGCCAUGAAGCUCAUGGAUCAAAUGAAGUACAUCAAUGAACACUCCUUCAACAACUUCCAGAUGAAGAUCGGGCUCAACAUCGGCCCCGUGGUGGCCGGGGUGAUCGGGGCUCGCAAGCCUCAGUACGACAUCUGGGGCAAUACGGUGAACGUGGCCAGCCGCAUGGAUAGCACCGGUGUGCCUGACCGCAUCCAGGUCACCACGGACAUGUACCAGGUGCUGGCUGCCAACACAUACCAGCUGGAGUGCAGGGGUGUGGUCAAGGUCAAGGGCAAAGGCGAGAUGAUGACCUACUUCCUCAACGGGGGGCCCCCGCUCAGUUAGCAGCUGCCACCUGGUGAUGCCAGGCAGCCUGGCCUCCAGAGAAAUGGAAAUGGCUUCUUUGGGUGCCGGUGGGCAGGUGGAAGCCUGCGCUCUAGCCCACAUGGCUGCACCAGUGAGAUUUUCCACUUUGACUCCAGAAGCAGCUUCUGCCUUUGUGGGCAGGCAGCCGCCUCCGUCCCAGGCCCCGGGGUGCCAGCGUCCUGCGAGCACCAAGCUGACCAAAGAUGUUUCCUCCGUAGAAGACUCCACUAGGCGUGAUCUGAAUCUCGAGUUUUCUAACGGGCGCUGCUGCUGCACAGGGCAGAAUUCUUCUCACCUCCAACACGAACUUGAAGGAGGUGGGGCGGCAGCUAUAUACCAGCUGCAGAAUGUUACUUUGAUGCCCACCUGCACCGCCUCUCACUGCACCCUAGCGCCGGCCUCCCUGUUCCACACACCAUCUCUCACUCCAGCCUGAACACCGCUCUGAGAAGCAAAGCUUACAGACCUAAAACUGCCAGCCCAGGUUUGUCCACGCUUUUGCUGCUCCAACCUUUGAGUUCUGCAUCGCCCCCCCCCCACCUUUGCACCUGUUGGGCGGGCUGGCUUUCUCCAUGGUGGUGUUCUCAAGUCCCCUGCCCCUCCAUAGUGCCCGCCAGUGGUGCCAGGUGUUAAUUUUGCUUCCAGCCCGAGUAACGUGUGUGCUGAGUUCCUCCGGUGGUCCCCCCGUUGGUUACGGUCUCCUCGGCUUCUUGGGGGCCCACCCCUCCUAUCCCAGCAGUGACUGGUGACACCGUGCAGUGCUAGCUCUUCAUUCCCUCCAAGGGUGUGCACUCUUUUUAUUCCUGCUCUUGCAAAAACAGAUACAAUUAUGAUUUCCCAUGGAAAUUUAAAAAGUCUAUUUAAAUAAUUUAACUAUUAAACACUUUCAC